AAGUCGUAACAAGGUUUCCGUAGGUGAACCUGCGGAAUGAUGUUAGUGACACUUUCAGACACUAACGUUAGUGACACUUUCAGACACUAACUGCUUGGGGAUGCCAGGCCACUUACACGCACAACAUGCACGCUCCUUGCAGACGUCCCUGAAUCGAAAACUGUUCGGCGAUGAUUUACCAGGGAUUGCUGCUUUUUCUAACGGACGUACGAGUACGACUGAAGGUUCACAGGGGGGUUUAACGUUUGGAUACGUGUUAAUGAUCAGUGUAAGGAUGACGCAGUCACGAUCGUUGGAGGCCCACACGGCCGACGACCGGGUCACCGGGUGCAAGCCCCCUUAUCACACCCCUGCUCUAUCUAUGGUGAUCCUGCGGGAAGUCCUGCGGUCGAACGCCGAAACCGAACAACUGUUAACAAUGGAUAUCUUGGUUCUC
rnacentral:misc_RNA from 1 species